rnacentral:rRNA from 1 species
GCGGUAAUACAGAGGGUGCGAGCGUUAAUCGGAUUUACUGGGCGUAAAGCGUGCGUAGGCGGCUUUUUAAGUCGGAUGUGAAAUCCCCGAGCUUAACUUGGGAAUUGCAUUCGAUACUGGGAAGCUAGAGUAUGGGAGAGGAUGGUAGAAUUCCAGGUGUAGCGGUGAAAUGCGUAGAGAUCUGGAGGAAUACCGAUGGCGAAGGCAGCCAUCUGGCCUAAUACUGACGCUGAGGUACGAAAGCAUGGGGAGCAAACAGGAUUA